AUACAAGCGCGAGAAAUAACAGUUGCGCGCCCUAGGCUCGCUCAAACUUGCUCUAGUCGAAUAGCAGACUGGCCGCUUCUUGGCUGCCUUCAAUCGUCCAGUAAACGAACGUGAGCAGGUAGAGCGCGCAUGGCUCACCCUUACCCCACCUUAUUUAACCUUAUUUCAUCCUACGAACACGAAUGAACCGAAACGGAACCACUUUUACACUGCAUUCUUGGCAUUGACGUAGCUGACCAAAGCGUUUUCUGUAAUAUAUCAUCGAAGCUUCUGGCUUUAGAAAGUCGAUUGAUCCUCCUAGGCAUCUCUUCUAAAUCUGAACAUAAUGUCCGAAAAUCAAUGUUAGUAUCGGAAAGGAGUAAAUAUUUUCCAGAAGGAAAGCACACUUGUCCAUCACUCCACAAAGACAAGAGAGAUAAGCAAGCUGCGUGGUACUGUAGGGUAAAUCUCCCCAGCGUGUUGCACACUUAGUUAACUUUCG